CUCAUGCCUCUGAUCCCAGCACUUUGAGAGGUGCUUGCUAGAACUUCCAGAAUGCAGUACUGAAUUGGCGGGUCAUGGAGAAUGUGUUUGUUUAACUCUACAGUUAAUGUCAGAUUGCUUUCCACAGCAGAUCACGUGAGCCCAGGAGUUCGAGACCAGCCCUGGGUGAAACCCGUCUCUACAAAAAAAAUAAUAAUAAUUGAAAAAUAGAAAAAAUGUUAGCUAGGCAUGGUGGUGUGUGCCUAUAUUCCCAGCUACUGAAGAGGCUAGGGUGGGAGGAUUACCUAAACACAGGGAGGCUGACGCUGCAGUGAGCCAUGAUCAUACCGCUUCACUCCAGCCUGGGUGGCAGAGUAAGACCCUGUCUUAAAAAAAAAAAAAAAGUACAACUGAUGUUAUAUCAAAACAGCUUUCUAAACUCUUAUUAAUUUAAAUCAGUUUUAUGUAGGAACUUUUGUAAUUUCUAGUACAUAAUUAUGUAAUCUGUGAAUAAUGGCCAUUUUGGCUUUUUUCCUUUUCCAAAUUCUUGUAUAUCUAAUUUCUUUUUUAAUGGCCAUUUUGAGUUUGUUUCUUUUCCAAUUUUUAUAAUUUUUAUUUCUUAACCUUUGCAAUGGCUAGAACCUCCAGCAAAAUGUUGAAUGGGGGCAGUAUUAUUUUGUUCCUGAUUUGCUCAAGAGAACACUUCUGACAUUCUGCCAUUGAAAAUCAAGUUUGCUGUAAGUUUAUGCUUGUAUUAGCUCAAUAAACCCUCUUCUAUUCCCAGUGUACUAAGAGAUUUAUUUUUUAAAUCAUGAACAUGUGUUGAAUUUUAUCUGACACAUUUUCUCUAUUAAGAUGAUCAUUUGGUUUUACUUUUUUAAUCUGUCAGUGUGAUAAAUUACAGAAACAGAUUUUAUAAUGUUAAACUAUCCUUGCAUUCCAUGGAUAAAUCCAACUUGGUUAUGAUAUAUUUCUAUUUUUAUUAAAUUAAUUUUAUAACAUGACUAUUUUUAAGAGGGUUCUUUAAAAAAAUAUAUAUUUGAGAGUGCCUGUAAACUUUUCUUUCUUAUGGUUUACUUUCCUGUUUUGCUAUAAGGCUAUACCAGUCUUAUAAAUUCAUUUCAGAAGUACUGCCUUGUUUUCUAAUGUCUGGAGGAU
rnacentral:lncRNA from 1 species